rnacentral:rRNA from 1 species
GACGAACGCUGGCGGCGUGCUUAACACAUGCAAGUCGAGCGGUAAGGCCCUUUCGGGGGUACACGAGCGGCGAACGGGUGAGUAACACGUGGGUGACCUGCCCUCAGCUCUGGGAUAAGCCUGGGAAACCGGGUCUAAUACUGGAUAUGACUCCAUGACGCAUGUUGUGGGGUGGAAAGCCUUGUGCGGCUGAGGAUGGGCCCGCGGCCUAUCAGCUUGUUGGUGGGGUGANGGCCUACCAAGGCGACGACGGGUAGCCGGCCUGAGAGGGCGACCGGCCACACUGGGACUGAGACACGGCCCAGACUCCUACGGGAGGCAGCAGUGGGGAAUAUUGCGCAAUGGGCGAAAGCCUGACGCAGCGACGCCGCGU